rnacentral:rRNA from 1 species
AUUGAACGCUGGCGGCGGGCUUAACACAUGCAAGUCGAACGUGUCGCAGACGGGUGUAUAAUGUUUGUGAACUUCCCUGAUGGUUGGGGAUAACCAUUGGAAACGGUAGCUAAUACCGCAAUCCAUCGGAUGAGCCCAGCGGGGCUUAGCUAGUUGGUGGGGUAAAGGCUCACAUAGGCGACGAUCCCUAGCUGGUCUGAGAGGAUGACCGGCCCAAAUGGAACUGAGAGACGGGCCAGACUCCUACGGUAGGCAGCAGUGGGGAAUAUUGCACAAUGGGCGCAAGCCUGAUGCAGCCAUGCCGCGUGUAUGAAGAGGGCCUUCGGGUUUUAAAGUUCUUUCAGCGGGGAGGCGUUACCCGCAGAAGAAGCACCGGCUAACUCCGUGCCAGCAGCCGCGGUAAUUC